rnacentral:rRNA from 1 species
GACAGAGGGUGCAAACGUUGUUCGGAAUUACUGGGCGUAAAGCGUGUGUAGGCGGCCAAGCAAGUCGGAUGUGAAAGCCCCGGGCUCAACCCGGGAAGUGCACUCGAUACUGCCUGGCUCGAGUAUCGGAGAGGUUGGUGGAAUUCUCGGUGUAGAGGUGAAAUUCGUAGAUAUCGAGAGGAACACCGGUGGCGAAGGCGGCCAACUGGACGAAUACUGACGCUGAGACACGAAAGCGUGGGGAGCAAACAGG